UCCCUGGUGGCUCAGAUGGUAAAGCGUCUGUCUAUAAUGCGGGAGACCUGGGUUCGAUCCCUGGGUUGGGAA
rnacentral:tRNA from 1 species